CCGAAGAGACACGUGGCCAUUUUCUCUCCUUCUCUACUUAAAAAGAAAAAGAAAAAGGGAUAAAAGUGUUUUAUUCUGCAGCUUUUAUACAUUCUGCGGCCACCUUCCAUUGUGAUUUUGCCAGCUUCCAUAAGGUUUGAUUUCAGGAGGAGCAUCUAAGUGUGCCUAUCAAAGCACCUCCAUUUGCGACUCAGCACUUCGUCCCACAUGGCUGCUUUAAACAGAAGAAGCUGAAAGUGAAACUGUCUGAAAAUGAGAGUGAAGAAAACUGGCCUGCUUCUAUAAUUUCAACAGAAAGCACCCCAGGUAAACAAAAUGGCACACUUGUGCAAUCAGCAAUGAAGAAUUCUCCCUACUUAAAUGGCUGAAGUGAGACAAGUGGAGAGAGAAAGUACGGCUUUCUGUGAGAGCUGGGGAAAAAAUCACAACGUAAUUCCCCACGGCCUCCAGUUGCCUCAUGACCACGCUCCUAUCCUGCCCUGACCCUGUGCUGACGGACUCCUGAGAGCCUGCAGGGGCAGAGUGCUGCAUCACCCCAUUGCCACCUCUUUCCAAUGGGCAUCUGUCCACAUCAGUGGCUGCAGGAGAACCAUCAGCAAUCCUGGAGCAGCUCUUUGAGUUCCCCAGGCUGUGCUGCCAGGGAGUUUCAGCUUCUGGGAAAGGCCUCAGCAAGGAAAAGCUUUCAGCAUUCUCAAAGUCAUCUAAUUGUUCAGGACAUACUGAGUAUCUGCACUUAGAGAAAUCAUGUUCAGGUGGAGCUCCCUUGAAGGCAAGGCACCGGGAAGCCAAGAUGAGUUUUCAGAAACCGGUGGUGCCUUCCUACUGAUAGGACCGAAUCCCAGCACGGAGCCAUCGCCACAGGCAGGAGGAUGACAAACAGGAGGCACAACAGGUUGCACCAAAAAGAAGCAGCUUUUCAGUUCAGAGGAAAUAGCUGGUUAGUGCACACGGACAACUUCUCACUUCAGCUGUAUGGGCUUUCCAGCACCUCAAGAGAUCCCACAGUUUUUGUUUUGAUAAACAAGAUGCCAUCCACCAUCUGCCAUCUCCCAUUGCCUCUGUCAGGAAGAACAGUUUGGAGAAUUCUUCCAACUGGAAGAGUCUCAGCUGUCUCUGCGCUUCAACACUAUCCUUUCACAUAAUCUUCAAAGAUCUGUCCACAAGCUCUGAAAUGUUAGCAUGGAAAAGCAAAUAAGAAAAAAAGAGAGAGAGAGAGAGAGAGAGAUCUGACCUUGAAGAUUUAGGAUUGGUUUUGCUUUUAAAACUAAGGAAAAAAAAAAUACCUGCAACAAAGCAGAAAAAUAGAAUUAUAACUUUCUUAGGAGUUACAAGCUGCAUCAUUUUUCCCAGGGCCUGACAGUCAGGCUUGUUUUUUCCUUCUCACACAACAGUACCAGGCAGAGAUCCCAUCAGCCAAAAGCCACUUCAAAUCCCCCAAGCAACCCUCUUUUCAGAGCAUUUCCUUUCAUGCACAUGAGAUGUAAGGAGAGCUCAGGAAGAUCCUCCGAUGAAAGCCUUCCUCCCAAGUCGUCGCCUUUGAAGAAGAGCCCCAGUGCCAGUGAAGCUCCACUGGAAUUUGCCCUUUCCCAUGAUUCACAAUGGGGAUGUGAUGCAAUUUCCGAGCCAUGCUCCCUCUGGAAUAUACCACACAGAGUCUGAGUUCAGGUGGGGCCGUGCAUCUUUCAGAACCGUUCACAUGGCUGACCCACAUGUUGAUAAUUUGCAGUGAGCCAGGUGGGAUUAUCUGUGGUAUAGUUGCAGCUGGUGGCAGCACAGCCAGUAGGAGAGCACCGUUACUGCUUCAGCAUUAACAAGAAAUGGUGCCAAAGGCUGGCUGCGAUCAUGUAAAUAGCUCAUGGAGGGGGGCCAUGAGGAUUAUGACUACCUGGUGCUGCAGAGUGGAUGCCACCUGAGAAAAGAUGCUCGUGCCCACAGGGGAGAGCGCUCGCUGCCAGCAUGGAUAUGGGGUCAGUGCAGCUCCUGCCCUGCACAGCAGAAUGUUGGACUGCAGGGCUGGCUGAGCUGCAGCCAGCUCCCAUUGCUGUGCGAGGCAAUGUUUAAAAAAUAGAAUCAACACAUCAAACGAUGUGUCAUGUAAGUUUUCCAUGUCAAGGAAAAUAGCCUGAGGCCCUUCUUCCCACAUUUGCCGCUACAACAGCCAGACAACCUGGCCCCAAAAUUUAUUCUGGUCUUUAAUCAGGAAAAAUCCCUGUGAUCUCUGAGGUUGGGCUUCACGGUUUUGGAAAGAGAUGAUGUGGUUCACUAAAAGGAAGGCGCUUGCCCACUGUUCUUGAGGUCUGUGGUCACUGUGAGAGUUGCACUCAUUGUGCAUCACCUGCAGAAAAAGUGGAAAUGCUCUCAUUUGCCCCAGUCGUCUCUGUGCAGUAAACAUCCAGCGUAGCAGCUUCAGAGCCAUUACUCAUGCUAUGUUUCCCUCUGUAUACACAAAAGCAGAUGCUAUCCAGCACCCGGAUGACCCCAAGUUCUGCUUUCAUCCUGAGCUAGUUUUGUUUUAUUUUUUCUCCAUGCUCUUCAUGCUGAGGUUUACCUUUCCCCAUGAUUUUGUUGCCCCAAGAACAAAGCUGGCCCUCCACAAACCAUGCACAGUGAGGCUGUGUAGGAUGUGUGCAUACUCUUACUGUUGAUUUUAGUUUCCUAAUUUAGAGCACAAAUACAAUGUCCAAGUGGCCAGAGCGAGAUUACUCCUCCAUGCACAUCAUCCUUCCCUUUGCACCUCAGGUAGCCAUUGCACAUUUCCUUUGACUCGGACUACAGUGAGAGAUUGGUUUUGCCUUUAGGAUGGGGCAGCAGCACAGAGGUGCCAACUCAAGGUGUAGGACUAUCACAGGGCUCUCAGCACUCUGAGCCAUUCAUGGAUCUUGCAAGAUCACACCUUGCAGGAAAGAUAAACCCAGAUAUGAUCUUGGGUUUAAAACCCAAGCCCUAAACAGGCUUUGAGGCCAAUGCACAAUUUCUCAAGCAGGCAAUAUGGUUUUCUUGUAUAUAUAAUAAACCUCAGUCAUCGGGAUUGCUGUGAGCUGCCACAAUGCAUACUCUCCCGUGGUGCAGCCCUGGUCGCUCUCACUGAUGUGUGCUAUUUCUGAACUAAAGCAUAAGGUUUAUCAUCCCUGCUGUUCUACCCUGCAAGCAGGAGUAAAAAAGGUCGACUACUGUGUUCAGGCAGCAUCAAAUUACUGUAAAACAAGUGAGAUACUGCAGCGAUAUAUGGCGAGUCUCGGCAUCUUCACUUCUUUCAGGCUUGCAUUAUAAAUGGGUCACAAACUGUUGCUUUCAUAAUAGAAAGAUGAGCCAUCAACUCACUCAUCCCUUCCAAAUUAAUAUUCAGUGAGGAUUUGCAAAUGAAACUGUUUCAUACCUGGGCAUGCCACGGAGCACCUGGAGUGCUUUGUCUGAGCUAUGUAAUGGGGAGUUCGGUGUCGUAAAGCAAUUUACAGGCUGUCCUAGGGCUUCUUCUGAUAAAAACGAUGACAGUAUGCACAGCUAGGCAGAGGAUAAGUGUUACAAUGAAGUCUGGGCUGGACAUAGGAGAGAAAUUUGGCACUUCUAAUCAGUUUUUUUGUCUCCCAAACCCAAAGAUCUCUUACAUGUCACCCAAACCUGGCCACACAGAGUCACCAGGGUCAGGCUGCCGUUCUUCCACUGCUCACACCAAGCUCCAGGUUCAGCCAGGUUGUGCUUCCUCCAUCAGCACUGACCAAUAUCAGCACCAAUAUCUGCCCUUCUGUCAGAGGAGAAACACCUUUAUCUUCUCAGGCUGAAAGAGAGCCACUCAAUAGAUCUGCAUCUACAGACUGCAGCAGUCUUCUCAUCCAUCUGUCGAAAUGUGCAUACCUGGCUGCGUCGGAGGCCACAGAUACAGCACUCAGCUGGAGAUGACUGUGGUGAUGCUGGGAGAUGCUGUUGGAGCAGCCCCAUGGGGGCCCCCAGCCCUGACCUGUGCUCAUCGCGGCUGAUGGAGAUGCCUCGAGCAGGAGCUCACGUCUGGCGGAGCCCGGUGGCAAAUUGGAAGAGCUCUUCCCAGAGUGAGAAAGAAGCUAAUUUCUUACUAAUUAUUUGCCAAACAGCAUGUAAUUAAAUAGCGCAGAACUGUCGACAAUGCAUCUUUGGGUCUUUAGGCCAUAUUUUUCCUGUUCGUGGCACGCUCCUCCAGCGCUUCAAGGCUACUGCAUGCUGCAGAGCAGCGGAGGAGCAGAGUGAUAAUUGAACAAUUAACAAGUGAUGUCAUAAAACAUUGUGCUUAAAAUAAAAUGCGUAAUUAAAAUAACUGAAGCACAAAAAAAGAUGCAACGGCGUACAGAAAAAGCACACACACUAAAAAAAAAUAAAAAAAAAAAUCCUUGAGAAUAAGUAAGUCCCAUGUAGGAACUAAGAUAUGCCAUUUAAAGGGAAAAAAAUAGCACCAGAGUGGUUAAGCAAAGACGUGGAGUAAACUAGCAAGCAAUGAUGAUUUGCCAAAAACUAUACUAAUGUUGCAAAAGAAGUAUUCUCUGUAGUUAACAAGUUUGGGCCAUAAAACAGUCCUUCGGUGGCUCCCUGUGUCAUUAUUUGCUACCAAGACACUGUGCUGAUGGGCUCCUCGGGAUCCGGCGUUAGAUCAGUAAGCAGGAAAGCAGAGGUCCCCCCAGAUUUCCUGCCUGGAGAGCUGUUAGGAUCCGCGCUAGUUCUUUAAAGAGCAGAGCUGCGUACAGUGCUGCACUCAAAAUGACCCCGUUAGGAAUAUAAUCUGCUACAAAUGAGACGUUUGGAGGGAAAAAUAACACAGGAAAGCCAAAAGAAAAGAGAGAGAAAAAAAAAGAAAGAAAGAAAAAAAAACAUGCCGGCUUGACUUCAGCUCAUCCUAACAAACGUGGUUUGUGAGGAGCCCCUAUCCUGCUCUUGGGAAGGCCAGAGAGGGAUUUAAGCAUCACCACCUCUCCAAGGCUGGGCUCAGGCUGCUGCUGCCCAGCAAGUGCCCAGCUGCAGUGCCUGUGCUCCUGUUCAUUCGCAGCAUGCACAGCCCUUUACUCCUGUUUCUCUGCUUUCCUUCAGCGUGUUAUUUCUUAAACUCUAGACACUAGCAGAGAUUUUAAAGCAUGAGGCAGACGUGCUUUCCAAGAAUAAUUGCUCUCUGGCUGCUGCACAGGAGCUCUGCUCAUGCAUUUCUGGGAGAUACUUGCAGACUGCUAACUGCUCUGGAAGCCUCCUCAGCCUUUGCUGCCUGCAAAUGGCAUUAUUAGUCGCUAAUAGCCUCAGCUCACCAUGUUGUCUCUUGGUUAGUUAGCAGCUAUUCUGCAAGUCAGAGGCAGGGAAAGAAGCACAUAUGUUUAAGCAGGAGCCAACUUCUGAUCUGUUAAAAAAAAAAACCUGGAAGGUUUCCUUAGAGCAAUCCCACCAUUAGGGAAGCGAUGAGUAAGGAAUGUUUCAGCACGGGGUGGGAUGUCCACACCACCUCCCACACAGCAGCUGCUGCUCUGGGCCUGGUUCCUGAAGGGAAGGACACAGAGGAUGCUCUGCUGCUUGCAGCUGGCACUGGCCAUGGAGCAGGAGGAGAACCGGUUCCAUUGCAGCAGGUGAUGGGGAACAGAACGUGGUGCCAGGACCCAAAAAUCUGUGGCACAGCAUUUCCAGACUAAAGGGCUGCCCUACUCAGAGCACUUAAAUGACAAAUAUACCUACGUCUCAUUAAAAGUCAAGGGGUCUUAAUAACAAGAUCUUUGCUGCUGUGUUGAUCUUUUUUAAAGGUUAGGGAUUGGGUUUGUUUUGUUUUGUUUCAUUAAGGUUACUUGCUCACCUGCUCAUUCCUUUCUGGAUAUUGUAGGAUUCUAUUAUUUACUGCUCAAGCAAUUCCAAGAACUGCUCUACUGACAUUUCAUGGUAUUUAGUAUUGACCAAACACUACAUGAUAAAUCUUUAUAAUACUCCAGAGAGACCAUCAAGGGAGUAGUUACAAAUAUAUACAUUGCAGCAUGUUGUGUUCUGGGUUAAAUGAAAUAUAAAAUCACAUCCCCGGCCUGGGUACUAAUGGCUCCAUCAGUAUUCCAUCACACUCCAGCUGCAAGUACAGUGGUUGCCAUUAAGACAUCACCAUUUGUCUACGGCUGCUGAUCGUAUCUGAUGGAUCUUCCCCUCAGUAUGUGGGGAAGGAAACGGGAACUGUGGUAACAUCUGUGUCUUGCCCCAUCCACUGCUUGAAUGAGGGACAGCUGUAUGGACAGAAGGAUGGACUACCAUCACAGGCUGAGGCUGCACACUGCCAUCCCGCGUGCUGUGUGUUCUCUGCUCCAGGAGAUGGAGCAUUUCCAAAGCUUCCAGAAAGUUCCGGAUUAGUUUCGAGUUUUGGGUAAUUUAUAGCCAAGCUGAUUUCACCAUCAUUAGCUUUUAUACAUUCAAACAAGGUUUAAUUUUGUUUGGAAGAUGCAGACGUGUGUACAGCUAGAUAAUGCCCUGUUUAUUUUACUGACUAAUUCAUCACUUAAAGUGCAGGACUAUAGGUUGGAAGACCAAGACUUAUGCAGACUCCCAUACCCCUAAAUCAAGCCAAUAAAAGUUAAAUUCACACUGUUUGCAAGCACUUUAUGCAGAUGGAAAAUGUCACCUUGUCUGAAAUACUUUAUGGCAUGAUGCAGAAGCAAAAAAGAAAUCCCACAGUGAGAGAUUAAAAAGCUUCACUAAUGCUUAGCUGGGAGGCACACAGUUCUGCACUACCUCCUUGCCAUGCGGUAGGGAGGCUUCCCCAGGAAGCAGCAUCACCUCAAGCAAUGCUCUGUGCACAAACCCACCGCAGCAUCACCAGCCCUGGCCUCCUUCCCCCUAAAAGGGUGAAGGGCUGCUCAGCCCAGGUGGUACGUGCUGUGCCUGGGGUGAGGGGCUGCCCGCAUGGCUGCAAUGGAAGUUGGCAGGGUGGGUCUGCGGGGUGCCCCAAGCCCUCAUGCCAUGACAUCACCAACUCCACACUGUCUCCUGGUACCCAAGACAUUCCCAUAACCAUGUCCCUCAGUGCCACAUCUCCACAUUUCUCAAACGCUUCCAGAGACGAUGACCCCACCACCUCCCUGGGCAGCCUGUGCCAAUGCCUCACCACUCCUUCAGAGAACUUUUUCCUUAUAUCCAACCUGACCCUCCCCUGGCGCAACUUAAAGCCGUUACCCUGCACCCACAAAGGCUGGGCCCGGCACGGCAGCAGGAGCUGGGCUGCUUCCUGCUGCAAACCUCACAGAGUUCCUUGCCAUGGUUUCGCCAAAAGGCAAAGGGCUGCUGUGCUCCCUG